AAGUCGUAACAAGGUUUCCGUAGGGUGAGCACACAUCCCCCAUUCAAACCCCAGAACCUCAUACUAACCUUUAUUCUUAGUGAACCUGCGAAGGAUCAUUAAUGAGAAACGGGCACUACCCACACCCCGUGAAAGCGGUGCGGUAGGCUUUGCCCUCCUCCCAAACCCCUGUCUACCGACCCACACACAAACUAAAGUACAAUACCAAGUCGUCCCUAGCGGGUGCACUGCCUUAUAAUGUACAAAAAACAAAACUUUUAACAACGGAUCUCUUGGUUCUGCAUCGAUGAAGAACGCAGCGAAAUGCGAUAAGUAAUGUGAAUUGCAGAAUUCAGUGAAUCAUCGAAUCUUUGAACGCACAUUGCGCCCCUGGUAUUCCGGGGGCAUGCCUGUUCGAGCGUCACAAAAAAUGCUCAGGCGAAAGCUUGAUGUUGGCGUCUAGGGCCGCUACGAUUGUACCCGAAAUACGGGAUUUUUCAGCGGCCCCGCCUCAAAUUGAUCGGCAGCGGCACGUAUCUCCGGCGUAUCCAGGCUUUACAGUCUUCGCUUCGUGGGUGAUCGUGCUCCGUACUCGCCCCGCAACGACCCGUAUAAUCACAAGAAAUUGACCUCGGAUCAGGUAGGGAUACCCGCUGAACUUAA
rnacentral:rRNA from 1 species